UCUCCGUUGGUGAACCAGCGGAGGGAUCAUUACAGGACUCGCAAGACUCCUACAACCCUGUGACCUUAACUAUAAGCACGUGACUUCGGCGGGUGUCUCGGAGGGGGUUCUCCCUCCCCGAGACGCUAAACCCGCCGGCAGCCUACUAUACUCUGUCUCUUUGCGUUGACAUCUCGAGUACAAUCAAACAAGUUAAAACUUUCAACAACGGAUCUCUUGGUUCUG
rnacentral:misc_RNA from 1 species